CCCUGCAUUAUGUUGGCAACAGUCAUUCCGCUCCAUCUGCUGCUUUUCUGCCUCCUUCGGCUUCAUCUUCAGACUCAACACAGCCAGCUGCUUAUGUGCCUCACCCAAGCGCCCAUGUUCUCACUCCAGCUGCUCAGCUGGUGCCAAAUGAACCUUAUGCAUGCCCAGAUUCUCACCUUCCUGCUCCGACUGCUCAAUUCGCCGCGCCUGCUUACUAUGUGACCACAACUGCGCAUCUGUAUCAAGCAGGUUAUCAAACAUAUGGUGCAUCGCCUGCCACCUACCACUACGCCCAAGCGCCUCCUUUGCAACUUGUCUAUGUGCAAGCCCAACACCCUGUGCCAGAACAUGUUACAGACCCUGCCUGUCCCUCUGAUCCCAGCUAUGAUGCUAAUGGGAAUGAUCCGUAUCUAUUUGAUGCUGUGAAGUCUCA
rnacentral:lncRNA from 1 species